rnacentral:rRNA from 1 species
GACAGAGGUGCCAAGCGUUAGGCGGAAUCACUGGGCUUAAAGCGUGUGUAGGCGGAGUUCUAAGUACCUUGUGAAAUCCCACGGCUUAACCGUGGAACUGCUUGGUAUACUGGUUCUCUUGGGCCAUCUAGGGGCUACCGGAACAAACGGUGGAGCGGUGAAAUGCGUAGAUAUCUGAAGGAACACCAGUGGCGAAAGCGGCUUCCUGGUCCAGUACCGACGUUCAGGCACGAAAGCGUGGGGAGCAAACAGG